AAAGAAGAAGGGUAAAUCAAUUUUGGGAGCAUUAAGAGCUUCAAAUUGGUUGUUCAUGGUGGUUGGGGUAUUGAUGACAAUGACAAUCUUGUAAUUACUUGAAGAUGAUGAGGGUGAGAGAGUAAAAAUGUCAUUUCGAAAAAAAAAAAAAAAACUUGAUAGCUUUUUCGUGAAUUUUAUGAACUUGUGGGGUGAAUAUGACAAAACUAAUUUUCCAAAAAAAAAAUGUUAGUUUUGUGUUUGAAUUUGAGUUUUAGGUCGUAAAAAGCCGUU
rnacentral:lncRNA from 1 species